rnacentral:rRNA from 1 species
GAAGGAUCAUUACUGAGACACUGAUUUUUAACGUUUUUUAUAUCCCAUUGUUUACUUACCCUGUUGCUUUCACUGGACAGAUUUCACCUUGUGUGGGUCCUUUGGCUUGUGUGAAAUACCACUUGCCAAAGAGUUGCCUGUGGUAAGACCUAUUUAUCAAAACUUGAGUUUCAAUAAACACAAUUGUCUGAAUAUUUUUUUUCUUUAAUGAAAUAAAACUUUCAACAACGGAUCUCUAGGCUCUUGCAUCGAUGAAGAACGCAGUGAAAUGCGAUAAGUAAUGUGAAUUGCAGAAUCUCGUGAAUCAUUGAAUCUUUGAACGCACAUUGCGCCCUAUGGUAUUCCAUUGGGCAUGCCUGUCUGAGCGUCAGCUCCCCCUCCACUCAAGAAUCAUUUUAUAUGAUACUUGGAUUACUUUGGAGAUGUAACUGUAUAUUAAGUUGCCCUCCAGAAAUUCAUUGGCAGUAUGGCUUUGUACUUGGACCAGACGUAAUAGUAAUAAAAUCGUUUGCUUUGGGUAUAAUUGAUUGUACUUGCCCUUAACUUCUCACCCAUUUUUAUCUUGGGUGACCUCAGAUCAGAGCUAUGUUGGAUACCCGCUGAACUUAAGCAUAUCA